CGUUAGCUCAGUCGGUAGAGCAACUGACUUUUAAUCAGUAGGUCGCUGGUUCGAACCCAGCA
rnacentral:tRNA from 2 species